UACGUAGGGGGCAAGCGUUGUUCGGAAUUACUGGGCGUAAAGCGCACGUAGGCGGCUUUGUAAGUUAGAGGUGAAAGCCCGGAGCUCAACUCCGGAAUUGCCUUUAAGACUGCAUCGCUUGAAUCAUGGAGAGGUGAGUGGAAUUCCGAGUGUAGAGGUGAAAUUCGUAGAUAUUCGGAAGAACACCAGUGGCGAAGGCGACUCACUGGACACGUAUUGACGCUGAGGUGCGAAAGCGUGGGGAGCAAACAGG
rnacentral:rRNA from 1 species